CGUUAUGGCAGCUUGAUAGGGCAACCGUAAGGUUGGCUGAUCCUAGAUUCAGUAUUCUCACCCCUGUCUCGCUGCCACCAUU
rnacentral:antisense_RNA from 2 species